rnacentral:rRNA from 1 species
GACGAACGCUGGCGGCGUGCUUAACACAUGCAAGUCGAACGGUGAAGCUCCAGCUUGCUGGAGUGGAUCAGUGGCGAACGGGUGAGUAACACGUGAGCAACCUGCCCCUGACUCUGGAAUAAGCGCUGGAAACGGCGUCUAAUACUGGAUACGAGAAGGGUCCGCAUGGGCACUUUCUGGAAAGUUUUUCGGUUGGGGAUGGGCUCGCGGCCUAUCAGCUUGUUGGUGAGGUAAUGGCUCACCAAGGCGACGACGGGUAGCCGGCCUGAGAGGGCGACCGGCCACACUGGGACUGAGACACGGCCCAGACUCCUACGGGAGGCAGCAGUGGGGAAUAUUGCACAAUGGGCGAAAGCCUGAUGCAGCGACGCCGCGUGAGGGAUGACGGCCUUCGGGUUGUAAGCCUCUUUCAGCAGGGAAGAAGCGAAAGUGACGGUACCUGCAGAAGAAGCACCGGCUAACUACGUG